rnacentral:tRNA from 1 species
UGGGAGAUCGUCUAAUGGUAGGACUGUAGACUCUGACUCUGCCUAUCGGGGUUCGAAUCCCUGUCUCCCAGCCA